UACGUAGGGGGCUAGCGUUGUCCGGAAUCAUUGGGCGUAAAGCGCGUGUAGGCGGUCCGGUAAGUCCGCUGUGAAAGUCGGGGGCUCAACCCUCGGAUGCCGGUGGAUACUGUCGGGCUUGAGUACGGAAGAGGCGAGUGGAAUUCCUGGUGUAGCGGUGAAAUGCGCAGAUAUCAGGAGGAACACCAAUGGCGAAGGCAGCUCGCUGGGACGUUACUGACGCUGAGACGCGAAAGCGUGGGGAGCGAACAGG
rnacentral:rRNA from 1 species